rnacentral:rRNA from 1 species
UCAGGAUGAACGCUAGCUACAGGCUUAACACAUGCAAGUCGAGGGGCAUCAUGGAGUUGCUUGCAAACUCUGAUGGCGACCGGCGCACGGGUGAGUAACGCGUAUCCAACCUUCCCUAUAGUAGAGGAUAGCCCGGCGAAAGUCGGAUUAAUACUCUAUGUUUUCCGUUGCAGACAUCUAAGAUGGAACAAAGGCUUGCCGCUAUAGGAUGGGGAUGCGUCUGAUUAGGUAGUCGGCGGGGUAACGGCCCACCGAGCCAUCGAUCAGUAGGGUUCUGAGAGGAAGGUCCCCCACAUUGGAACUGAGACACGGUCCAAACUCCUACGGGAGGCAGCAGUGAGGAAUAUUGGUCAAUGGGCGAGAGCCUGAACCAGCCAAGUAGCGUGCAGGACGACGGCCCUAUGGGUUGUAAACUGCUUUUAUGCGGGGAUAAAGUUCACUACGUGUAGUGUUUUGUAGGUACCGCAUGAAUAAGGACCGGCUAAUUCCGUGCCAGCAGCUGC